rnacentral:snRNA from 1 species
CUACUAACCUGGCAGGGGAGAGACCAUGAUCACGAAGGUGGUUUUCCCAGGGCGGGGCUUGUCCACUGCACUCCGGAUGUGCUGACCCCUGCGAUUUCCCCAAAUGCAGGAAACUCAGCUGCAUAAUUUGUGGUCGUGGGGGACUGCGUUCAUGCUCUCCCCUA